CCUACGGGAGGCUGCAGUGGGGAAUAUUGGGCAAUGGGUGCAAGCCUGACCCAGCAACGCCGCGUGAAGGAAGAAGGCUUUCGGGUUGUAAACUUCUUUUAAUAGGGAAGAGCAGAAGACUGUACCUCUUGAAUAAGCCACGGCUAACUACGUGCCAGCAGCCGCGGUAAUACGUAGGUGGCAAGCGUUGUCCGGAUUUACUGGGUGUAAAGGGCGUGUAGCCGGGCUGACAAGUCAGAUGUGAAAUUCCGGGGCUCAACCCCGGAACUUCAUUUGAAACUGUUGGUCUUGAGUAUCGGAGAGGCAGGCGGAAUUCAUAGUGUAGCGGUGAAAGGCGUAGAUAUUAGGAGGAACACCAGUGGCGAAGGCGGCCUGCUGGACGACAACUGACGGUGAGGCGCGAAAGCGUGGGGAGCAAACAGGAUUAGAUACCCUAGUAGUC
rnacentral:rRNA from 1 species